UACGUAGGUGGCAAGCGUUGUCCGGAUUUACUGGGCGUAAAGCGCGCGCAGGCGGUCGGAUAAGUCGAAUGUGAAAGCCCCCGGCUCAACUGGGGAGGGUCAUUCGAUACUGUUCGACUCGAAGGCAGGAGAGGGAAGUGGAAUUCCCGGUGUAGUGGUGAAAUGCGUAGAUAUCGGGAGGAACACCAGUGGCGAAGGCGACUUCCUGGCCUGUUCUUGACGCUGAGGCGCGAAAGCGAGGGGAGCAAACGGG
rnacentral:rRNA from 1 species